GGUAGCUAAAUGCGGAAGAGAUAAGUGCUGAAAGCAUCUAAGCACGAAACUUGCCCCGAGAUGAGUUCUCCCUGAGACUUUAAGUCUCCUGAAGGAACGUUAAAGACGAUGACGUUGAUAGGCCGGGUGUGUAAGCGCAGCGAUGCGUUGAGCUAACCGGUACUAAUGAACCGUGAGGCUUAACCUU
rnacentral:rRNA from 2 species